UACCAUGGUGGUAACGGGUAACGGGGUGUUAGGGCACGACACCGGAGAGGGAGCCUGAGAAACGGCUACCACAUCCAAGGAAGGCAGCAGGUGCGCAAAUUACCCAAUCCCAACACGGGGAGGUAGUGACAAUAAAUAACAAUACAGGGCUCUUUUGGGUCUUAUAAUUGGGAUGAGUACAAUUUAAAUCUCUUAACGAGGAACAAUUGGAGGGCAAGUCUGGUGCCAGCAGCCGCGGUAAUUCCAGCUCCAAUAGCGUAUAUUAAAGUUGUUGCAGUUAAAAAGCUUGUAGUUGAAUUUCGGGAUCAAUAUGUCGGUCGUGCCUUCGGUACGUACUGGUAUCAUUGGUCUCUCCUUUCUGACGAACCAUGAUGUCAUUAAUUUGGUGUUAUGGGGAGUUAGGACUGUUACUUUGAAAAAAUUAGAGUGUUUAAAGCAGGCUUUAGCUUGAAUACAUUAGCAUGGAAUAAUGAAAUAGGACGUUCGAACCUAUUUUGUUGGUUUCUAGGAUCAACGUAAUGAUUAAUAGGGAUAGUUGGGGGCAUUAGUAUUCAAUUGUCAGAGGUGAAAUUCUUGGAUUUAUUGAAGACUAACUACUGCGAAAGCAUUUGCUAAGGAUGUUUUCAUUAAUCAAGAACGAAAGUUAGGGGAUCGAAGACGAUCAGAUACCGUCGUAGUCUUAACCAUAAACUAUGCCGACUAGGGAUCGGAUGAUGUUAAUUUUUUAAUGACUCAUUCGGCGCCUUACGGGAAACCAAAGUGUUU
rnacentral:rRNA from 1 species